GGCUCCAUAGUGUAGUGGUUAGCACAUUUGCUUUACACGCAGAAAGUCCUGGGUUCGUGACCCAGGUAGAGCCA
rfam:Pteropus alecto contig105915, whole genome shotgun sequence.